ensembl:lncRNA
GGGAGAGCAGGCGGAAUGAAGCAUCCGUCCAUACUGAGAGAAAACCACAGAUGUUGCUCGUACGCGCUUAGCUCUGCCACCACACCCAUGAGGAGAACCGCACUCUCUUUCCCUUCUGCUAAAGUGCUUUGCUUGGUAGUUGGUGUUUAUGUGAAUUUGCCCUGUAUGAGCUACGUGGACGAGGAAAGAGAAAUGCCUUAAUGCAGUGUGUAUGAUAAAAUCACUCUUGGCUUUCACGUUUCACGUCUUCUGAUUUGGGACAUGAGUGAUGAUGAAAGUAUCUGAAGACCGAUCCGUAGACGGACGAAGCUGACGCAGGUCAUCACUGGACACCUUGGCCAGCCUGCAGGACAUUACCAAAACUUGGGUAUCACUCAGAUGGAGCUUAACAUUAUUAAGACAUUCCUCGAUAAUGAAAUGAUGGUGGAUCCAGCACACUCUUAUUAACGAGGAAACGCAACAAUUCUGUUUACGUGAGUGAUUCCAAUACAGUCGUGUAGUCCACAACCAAAAUGUUUAACUUUACUGUUUGUUUACUCAAACGUCAAAAUCCUUGUCUGUCAUGAACAGCUAAUAACUAUAAUCUCUGUGGUGUCUCUCUAAACAAACUCCUUUUUAAUAAAAUAAAUCAUGAAAUAAAAAUUGUCCCAAAAAACAUCUAUCCAAUAUACUUAAAUAUUCUGUGUAAAUAAUGUGAUGAUGGGGGGAAAACUCGCGGUCAUGAAUCAGUCAUUUAAUGUGCUCAGUUGGAUUGGUUUUUAAUGUGAUUAUAAACUGGACUAUCCAUCCAUCUUCUGUACUGCAUAUCCCACACAAAGUCGCAGGGGAGCCUGGAGACUAUACCAGGGAACUCGGGGCACGAGGCGGGGGACACCCUGGACGGGGUGCCAACCCAUCACAGGGCACAAUCACACACCUAUUCACACACUACGGACAAUUUGGAAAUUCCAAUCAG